GUGGGCACCGUGCGCUGCUCGAGCUUGCAGGAAAGCCUGUCUCUCCGAGUGUGGCUGGGGAGGGGGCUGGGUUUCUUUUUGUUUCUAGAAGUCCCCUUCACCCUCGUUUGCCCCCGCGUACCGCCGAGAGGAUCGCGUGGAAUGGCUGCAGGGCUCCAGGGCGCACCCCACCCCACGCACGCCCUCUGGGGCGCCAGAAGGCGCGGCCCCGGGGGGAUCCCUGUUCCCAGGAGGAAGCGCGGAGUGGAGCUGCUGGAUCCUAAGACAAUGCCACACUUUCCGUUUUGAAGAACUUCCAAAGACUUUCAGUAGGUGGAAUGUGGAGAGAGUCAGAAGAGCUGAACAGAAUCUGGAGCCUGCUCCAAUGCAGCCUUGGCGUGAAGCAGAAGAUGUGGCCCAGAUUAAAGGUGGAUCUUCACCCUCAAAGAUCCAGAUUAGAACUCCUGGCUGGUGACAUGUGGAUGACACUCUAUAACUAUCAGAUGGUCCCACAAAUACCAACAUUGCUGCUCCAUCUGAAUCAAAUCCUCCAUACCCACAAGGGUUGUUUGUCCUCUUUUCUGCCUGAUGUCACAGCUGGGAUACCUUGAUGUCACAAAGUGGAAGAUGAAGAGGCAUAGUCUAACAUGUGGAAGAAAAUGUGAUGCUGGGGUCCAGUUUUUCUUGAGUGGUUGUGCAUUUCUAUCUGCUUUUCUUAGCUCUGUUCAUUUCCCUGCUCCAGUAUUCACUUGCUGUUGCCAGGGACCCAUGAGCCUCGGAGUUGAAGUCAAGAUAGCUCCCUGGCUCUGGAUUUUGCAGUAAUGAAUGCACCCACCAAGGUAAUAAUAAACUCGCAGUCUCAUUA